rnacentral:rRNA from 1 species
GGGUUGUGAGGUUAAGCGACUAAGCGUACACGGUGGAUGCCCUGGCAGUCAGAGGCGAUGAAGGACGUGCUAAUCUGCGAAAAGCGUCGGUAAGGUGAUAUGAACCGUUACAGCCGGCGAUGUCCGAAUGGGGAAACCCAGUGCAAUUCGUUGCACUAUCGUUAACUGAAUACAUAGGUUAACGAGGCGAACCGGGGGAACUGAAACAUCUAAGUACCCCGAGGAAAAGAAAUCAACCGAGAUUCCCCCAGUAGCGGCGAGCGAACGGGGAGCAGCCCAGAGUCUGAAUCAGCUUGUGUGUUAGUGGAACGGUCUGGAAAGUCCGACGGUACAGGGUGAUAGUCCCGUACACCAAAAUGCACAGGCUGUGAACUCGAAGAGUAGGGCGGGACACGUGGUAUCCUGUCUGAAUAUGGGGGGACCAUCCUCCAAGGCUAAAUACUCCUGACUGACCGAUAGUGAACCAGUACCGUGAGGGAAAGGCGAAAAGAACCCCGGCGAGGGGAGUGAAAAAGAACCUGAAACCGUGUACGUACAAGCAGUGGGAGCACCUUCGGGUGUGACUGCGUACCUUUUGUAUAAUGGGUCAGCGACUUAUAUUCUGUAGCAAGGUUAACCGUAUAGGGGAGCCGCAGGGAAACCGAGUCUUAACUGGGCGUUAAGUUGCAGGGUAUAGACCCGAAACCCGGUGAUCUAGCCAUGGGCAGGUUGAAGGUUGGGUAACACUAACUGGAGGACCGAACCGACUAAUGUUGAAAAAUUAGCGGAUGACUUGUGGCUGGGGGUGAAAGGCCAAUCAAACCGGGAGAUAGCUGGUUCUCCCCGAAAGCUAUUUAGGUAGCGCCUCGUGAAUUCAUCUUCGGGGGUAGAGCACUGUUUCGGCUAGGGGGUCAUCCCGACUUACCAACCCGAUGCAAACUACGAAUACCGAAGAAUGUUAUCACGGGAGACACACGGCGGGUGCUAACGUCCGUCGUGAAGAGGGAAACAACCCAGACCGCCAGCUAAGGUCCCAAAGUCAUGGUUAAGUGGGAAACGAUGUGGGAAGGCACAGACAGCCAGGAUGUUGGCUUAGAAGCAGCCAUCAUUUAAAGAAAGCGUAAUAGCUCACUGGUCGAGUCGGCCUGCGCGGAAGAUGUAACGGGGCUAAACCAUGCACCGAAGCUGCGGCAGCGACACUAUGUGUUGUUGGGUAGGGGAGCGUUCUGUAAGCCUGCGAAGGUGACCUGUGAGGGUUGCUGGAGGUAUCAGAAGUGCGAAUGCUGACAUAAGUAACGAUAAAGCGGGUGAAAAGCCCGCUCGCCGGAAGACCAAGGGUUCCUGUCCAACGUUAAUCGGGGCAGGGUGAGUCGACCCCUAAGGCGAGGCCGAAAGGCGUAGUCGAUGGGAAACAGGUUAAUAUUCCUGUACUUGGUGUUACUGCGAAGGGGGGACGGAGAAGGCUAUGUUAGCCGGGCGACGGUUGUCCCGGUUUAAGCAUGUAGGCUGAUUGUCCAGGCAAAUCCGGAUAAUCAAGGCUGAGGUGUGAUGACGAGGCACUACGGUGCUGAAGUAACAAAUGCCCUGCUUCCAGGAAAAGCCUCUAAGCAUCAGGUAACAUCAAAUCGUACCCCAAACCGACACAGGUGGUCAGGUAGAGAAUACCAAGGCGCUUGAGAGAACUCGGGUGAAGGAACUAGGCAAAAUGGUGCCGUAACUUCGGGAGAAGGCACGCUGGUGUGUAGGUGAAGUCCCUGCGGAUGGAGCUGAGACCAGUCGAAGAUACCAGCUGGCUGCAACUGUUUAUUAAAAACACAGCACUGUGCAAACACGAAAGUGGACGUAUACGGUGUGACGCCUGCCCGGUGCCGGAAGGUUAAUUGAUGGGGUUAUCCGUAAGGAGAAGCUCUUGAUCGAAGCCCCGGUAAACGGCGGCCGUAACUAUAACGGUCCUAAGGUAGCGAAAUUCCUUGUCGGGUAAGUUCCGACCUGCACGAAUGGCGUAAUGAUGGCCAGGCUGUCUCCACCCGAGACUCAGUGAAAUUGAACUCGCUGUGAAGAUGCAGUGUACCCGCGGCAAGACGGAAAGACCCCGUGAACCUUUACUAUAGCUUGACACUGAACAUUGAGCCUUGAUGUGUAGGAUAGGUGGGAGGCUUUGAAGCGUGGACGCCAGUCUGCGUGGAGCCAACCUUGAAAUACCACCCUUUAAUGUUUGAUGUUCUAACGUUGGCCCCUUACCGGGGUUGCGGACAGUGUCUGGUGGGUAGUUUGACUGGGGCGGUCUCCUCCCAAAGCGUAACGGAGGAGCACGAAGGUUAGCUAAUCCUGGUCGGACAUCAGGAGGUUAGUGCAAUGGCAUAAGCUAGCUUGACUGCGAGCGUGACGGCGCGAGCAGGUGCGAAAGCAGGUCAUAGUGAUCCGGUGGUUCUGAAUGGAAGGGCCAUCGCUCAACGGAUAAAAGGUACUCCGGGGAUAACAGGCUGAUACCGCCCAAGAGUUCAUAUCGACGGCGGUGUUUGGCACCUCGAUGUCGGCUCAUCACAUCCUGGGGCUGAAGUAGGUCCCAAGGGUAUGGCUGUUCGCCAUUUAAAGUGGUACGCGAGCUGGGUUUAGAACGUCGUGAGACAGUUCGGUCCCUAUCUGCCGUGGGCGCUGGAGAAUUGAGGGGGGCUGCUCCUAGUACGAGAGGACCGGAGUGGACGCAUCACUGGUGUUCGGGUUGUCAUGCCAAUGGCACUGCCCGGUAGCUAAAUGCGGAAGAGAUAAGUGCUGAAAGCAUCUAAGCACGAAACUUGCCCCGAGAUGAGUUCUCCCUGAGACUUUAAGUCUCCUGAAGGAACGUU